AAGAGCCUCUCCAACAAGAGGUUUGAUAACAGAACCCCCAUAUUCUGCACAUACCCCAAGACCAUAAACAGCAGCCUGCCGGACAUCCGGGCUCUCGUCAUUGCAUGCUUCCAAAAGGAAAGGAAGAUAUGUGUCAUAAUACUUAAGAGCUGCUUCACGGCACUGCUCAGCAAUGUCAUCAAAAAUACAAAUUGCAAUUCUCCUUUCUUCGGCUGUUUUAUCCUUGCCCCACAUAGGCAUUAGAUAAGAUGACAGUUCAUCAAAGAAUGGCAAGAAAACUGCCUUGAAAGUCUUAAUCAAUGUGCCCAAUAUUUCACCAACUUGGUCAAAAACUUCUUCUUCUUGCUCAUUUUCCUCCUUGAGCAACUCACUUUCCUCUGCAUCGAAGUCCUCAGCUUUUGCCCUCUCUGCACGUUCUCGUUUUCUACUUGAACUGGCUGUGAUAACCUGUUUUAUCUCAUCCACAAUGCUUCGGACCUGACCUUCAUCCAGGAGUGGUCCAGAGAUCUGAACACACUCAUUCAAUGCAUCCAACAUACUUGCACAGAUCUCUGUAUCAGGCUCCUUAUGCAAUGCUUCAACCAGAGCUGGAAUGAUGUAGUCUGAUAAUUGCUUGACAUAGGUCUCAUUUCGGCCCUGUGCAAUCCCUUUCUCUACAGCCAGUUUAGCAGAACGUAACAGCUCUGGCAUUGCAGACACGGCAGCUUUCCUGACUUCUUCGUGGAAAUAGAAUUUGAGAAGUGGAACUAAUGUAGGAGCAACCUGAUCAAUCCAUGGAUAGAAACCUUCCUUGAGUUCAUCAGCAUAGCAGCAUAGCAUAUUACAAGCGGUAGCCUUCUCUUCUAAGACGCUUGUUUUGAUGCCUAUCCUUUUAUCUCCAAGAGUUAUGGUCUCCAUGCUGUCAUCAUCUGAGUCAUCAAGUUCAUUGUCUGAAUCUGCGGAUGAUAUGGUCACAUCAGGCUUUAGUUGAGCAGACAGAAGUAAAGGAGGCAUGACAACACUCAUGUAAGGCAGGAAAUCCUGUCCCAAGCACUUGCAAAGCCUGGCCCAUGCCUGCAACAUAUAACUAGUAGUAGGGUCAUCUGUCUCCAUUUGCGAUCCU
rnacentral:misc_RNA from 1 species